CGUCGGCGGCGCAGACGGCGCAUGCGUAAUAAAAGAACUAACGAAAAUAACCGAAUACAGCCGUUUCUUGUGAUUAGUACUAGAUAUCGACAUACAUUCAAGCAAUCAUGAUAUCUUUUUCUAAUUUUAAUCAGCUACUGUGUUCACAAGGAAUUCUGGAAGACUUCCUACCGUAUAAGCGUCACAGGACGUGAUUCUAACAUCACAGGGUUGAGAAGGAUGAAAGAAAGAGCUUUUGAUUUUUUUACGUAUGAGGAUUACCAGGCGCGUUUUAUUUUCUUUUUCCAGAACGGGUACCUUCGUUUCCCUACAUUUGAGGAAUUUUCAAGAACAACGGUUACUCUUUGGUUUAAGUUAGUCAUGACGCCAAGCCGAAUGGGUCCUUUAGAACAAGUGUUAGUACAAACGUACUAUAUGUCAAAGACAAAUGAAGUUUGUAAUUUGUUAAUAAAUGUUGUUAU
rnacentral:misc_RNA from 1 species